rnacentral:lncRNA from 1 species
GUCAUCUCAGACUUAAUAUGGCUAAACAUGACUCUUGAUUUCUAAACUCCCAAUCUGCUCCUCCCACAGGGUUAUUUUAGUGAUUGGCAGCUCCAUCCCAGUCACCUGGGCCAAAACCUUGGAGUCAACUGAGUUCCCUCUCUCUCUCAUAAAAUUCUUUUGAGUGGUACCUUCAAAAUAUAUCCUGAGUCCGAUCACUUCUCAAGAACUUCUUUACUAUCUAUGUUAUCUAAAGUGAUAUUGUCUUUCAUUUCGAUUAUUACAACCUCCUAAUUUCUGAUUCCCACCCCCACACUCGGCAAGAGUAGGCAUUCCAGUAAUAUGAAUUAACAAAAUUCAUAUUCAAUUUGAAUUUAGAUUUUCGCUAAAGGAACAAAAGGAUAGUUGCCCAUUAUUACCAAGUGGCUAUUUGGAGGUCAUCUUCCCCAGCUUCACUCUCAGGAUUUGAGAUGUUUUGAAACCCCCUCACCAAUCCACAGGCAUUCAUGCAUGUCUGUGCAAACAAUUCUUACUUCUUUUUCAAUAAGCUUUAAAGGCUGCUUUUUAAUUUUGGCAGCACAUAUACUAAAAGUGGAACAAUACAGAGAAGAUUAGCAUGGCCCCUGCACAAUGGUGACACACAAAUUCAUGAAGCCUUCCAUGCUUUUCAAACUGUUACAUUUAGAAUGGAUAAGCAAUGAGGUCCUACUGUAUAGCACAGGGAACUGUAUCUAAUCUCUUGUGAUAGAACAUGAUGGAAGAUAAUAUAAGAAAAACAAUGUACAUGUAUGUGUGACUGGGUCACUUUGCUGUACAGCAGAAAUUGACACAGCAUUGUUAAUCAAUUAUAGAUAAUUAAAAAAAAUUCAAAAGACUUCCUUUUAACUCCUGUAAAGUUACUCCAGUAAGGUAGGUAAUGCUCCUUUAGGUGGAGGAAGGUGGCUUCCACCUUAGAGCAAAAUAUGAGGCUAAGCUAGCUAAGCCAGAUGGAGAGCUAAGAUUCUACUCUGGUAUCAAAGAGUAGAAGUGUAAGCACAUUUUUGAAGACUAAGAUUCUUUUAUAGUGGAUGAUGGAGUAAGACAUUAACAAGGCAUGGAAUCUGACAGUACUGCCUAUCUAGGUAGGAUCUUAAAUCAGAUAUAAUUGGCCACUGACUUCCCAGUGACGGGAAUAACUUUAAGAUCAAUGACCACUGAUAGAUAUUUUCUUCCUAAAAGGGCCCAAAUCAGCAUUUAUGCUGGCUUGGUUUGUUCCUCACUUAUUCUGACCCAUUCUAUUAUUUAUUCCACAGGUCUCAGGCUUGAAUAUUAUCUCAGUCUGGGUUUCCUCAUUGCCCUAAUUUUAGGUUUCAUGCUAUGUGGUCUUGAUCUGCCUUUGGCUAUUAGGUUCAUCAAAAAAUUUAAGUUUGCAAUAAUAGCUUCUAGUUCUUUGUGCCAGGAGCCCUAGGGCCUUUGGAUCCUCAGCCAAAUGACAAAAAUGAGUAAGAACAAUUUCUCCACUUUCACUAAUAGGAGAGCAAAGUACUCAUCACAUUCUCAGCAGAGUUGGCCUUUCAUCAAACUCUCUCUUUUUAAAAUUUAUUUAUUUAAUUUUUUAGGUCCUCACCUGCGUCAUAUGGAAGUUCCCAGGUUAGGGUUAGGAGUUCUGGAGCUGCAGCUGCCUGCCUUUACCACAGUCACAGUAAAGCAGGAUGCAAGUUGCACCUGAGACCUACACCACAGCUGUAGCAAUGCCAGAUCUCUUAACCCACUGAGCAAGGCCAGGGAUCUAAACCACAUCUUCGGGGACACUAACCCAAUGAGCCAAAAUGGGAACUCCAAAAGUUUCUUAUUUGGGAUGAUUGGGUCUAAGGUUUAAUCAAAGGGUAUUUGGCUCACACAAAAAGAUGUAGAAUUGUUAGCUCUUUGCUAUAACCCUACUUUGAGUAUUCAGAUAAUAAUAAUUAUUAUAGCUACAAUAAAUACUGCUUACCUUAUGCUAGACAAUGUAUUCUACUCUUUCCUUUUUUUUUUUUUUUUUUUUGUCUUUUUGCUAUUUCUUGGGCCACUCCCGCGGCACAUGGAGGUUCCCAGGCUAGGGGUCCAAUCGGAGCUGUAGCCACCGGCCUACGCCAGAGCCACAGCAACGCGGGAUCCGAGCCAGGUCUGCAACCUACACCACAGCUCACGGCAACGCCGGAUCGUUAACCCACUGAGCAAGGGCAGGGACCGAACCCGCAACCUCAUGGUUCCUAGUCGGAUUCAUUAACCACUGCGCCACGACGGGAACUCCCUAUUUUCUUUUUUAAAACAAAUGUUAUCAUUUUAUUAUAUUUUUUAUAUAUCUCCUAUUCUUUACUUUUAAUGGUCAUGAAAACCUUAUGAAACAGGGACUAUUUUAAUCUCUUUUCUAUAUAUAAAAAUAUGAGGUUUAGGAAGUCAUAGGAAGUGACAGGAGAGGCAAAUUGCAGAUACUUACAAAUAUAUGCCUAAUGUCAAUUAUUAUUAUUAUUAUUAUUAUUUUGUCUUUUUAGGGCCACACCCACGACAUAUGGAAUUUCCCGGGCUAGGGGUCUAAUCAGAGCUAUAGCUGCCGGCCUAUGCCACAGCCACAGCAAUGCCAGAUCUGAGCCGUGUCUGCAACCUACACUUCAGCUCACAGCAACACGGAUCCUUAACCCAAUGAGCGAGGCCAGGGAUUGAAACAAGGACCAUUAUUUUAAAAACUUCACAUUACUAUCUCCCUUAGAACAGGGGUAGUGACUAUGAAGCAGGGCAUGUUGCUUUUUCCUUUUUCUGUGAGAGAAGGAACCCAAUGUGUGAGUCCUUUCCUAAUUAUAUUAAUUUCUGUCCUGGAAGAAUAAGGAAGAUGAAUCAUUUCAAUGCACCUUUGGUGCCCAGAUUGAGAAAAUAAACCAGGCUACUAAAUGUUUUCCUAAAGGUCCCUACUUAAUAGGAGCUUAGGGAAACUACUUAAUCAUUUAUGUCAUUGAACAAACCAUGAGAUCGGGAUAUUUUCUGUCCUGGCAGAUUUUGAAAAAAUGGAGCCAGAAAACUUUAGGAUGAAGAAGUCACAUUUGAGCAACAUUCUCUGGGGUUAUCCUGUCCUAAGGCAUCUCUCUUCUUGUUACUUAUUAAAAGUAGCUUUGACUCAAAUGUUAAUGUUUAAAUUGGAUUUUUAGUAUACCAAUUUCACUGUUUUUUAGAAAAACCUAUAAUUCCACCUCUGGGCCUUUUUAGCUACAUUAAUAAGUCCCAAACCUAUAUAAAUAAAUUUCGAUUGUCUGAAAGUGAAAGUACUUCAUGAAUCAGACUGACAAAAACAAGGAAACCCAAACUCAUUUAGACCUAUAAUUGGAUCAUUCCUACUUCUGGCAAUCCCUUAUAUAUUUCCCAAUGAAUUAACAUGAUUACACCUGAGACCCAGAAAACGUAAAUUUUCACUUUAAAUUAAAGAGAGGGUGCUUGAUAGAUCUUUUCUCUGACCAGCAAGAGGUCUCCAGAGACUCCAAGAUUCAUUAAUACAUUGAGCUUUGAGGUUUUGGAUUUAGCAGACUAUCUAUGUGGAGUCAAUAUUAAGUGGUCUAAUGCUCAAAUUCCUUCUCAACUAGUUGUCUCCAUGGGUUAGAAAAUGCUGCUAGCAAAGCCAUUUAUUCUUUGUAGAGUGGAGAAAGUUGCUGUUCCAAACUAUUGGUUGGAUUAUUAACCUCAGCUUGUAAAUGUUUGCAGUGUUUCACAAGGCAAGAGCCAGGGACAACCAAACCAUGACAAUUGAUUAGUUCCUUUUGUACUUGGGUAAGCUUGAUAUCAUCCCAAAGGAAAACAAACAAUGUCAUUUCCCUUCUGCCCCCAAGAAUCUCAUCUUGCUUGGUCAAAUUCACACCACUUUUUAAAAGAGAAAAGCAGAAGGCUUUUUGUGUUACCCCCAAGGUCAUCAACAGUGGGGAUGGUGUAGACAGAUCAUAUUACUUUAUGUCAAGGGCCAUUUUACCAGUUAUUCCAUUGUAUAGGGGAGGCCCCUGGGACAUCUAAGCCUACAUGGAUAGAGGAAAGAGAGAUUGAACUCUUGGCUUCCACCAUCAUGUGCUUGAAUUCCAGCCCCAUGUAUGAAACUGUCUUCUCAAAAUGUCUACUUGAUAAAUUCAGACACAUUUCAUAUUUAACAUGUAAAAAUAGAACUCUCUUCUUCUUCUUAUAGAUAGAUAGAUAAGGUAUUUCUGCCUGGCAACUGUGAAUAUGACUUUAUUUGGAAAAAGGGUCUUUGCAGAUACAAUUAGGUUAAGGAUCUUAAGAUGAGAUCAUUCUGGAUUAUCUAUGUAGGUCCUAAAUCUAAUGACAAGUGGGUAUAUAAGAGAUAGAAGAGAAGAUGCACAGAAGAGGAGAAGGCCAAGUGAAGACAGAGGUAGAGAUUGUGGUCAUACAACCCUAAGUCAAAAACGGCCUAGAGCCAUGAGAAGCGGAAGAGACAAGGAACGAUGCUCCCCUAGAGCCUUUGGCAGGAAUAUGGCCCUGCUGACACCUUCGUUUUGGACUUCUGUCCUUUAGAACGAUGAGAGACUAAUUCUUACUGUUUUAAACCACCAACUUUGUGAUGCUUUGUUACAGUAGCCCCAGGAAAUAAAUGCGGGCCCCAAGUCUGCUUUAGCCUUCAGGUGAUGGCAACUCUGGUCUUUCAGCUCAGUUCAAAAACUGUGAGGUGGGGAAGGAAGGUCAUCCUUGACUCCUUUCCUCUCUCUAAUCCUUCAGCAAAUCCUGUUUCUUUACUGUCAAAAUAUUCUAAGGAGUUGAUUAUUUCUUGUUAUUUCCAUUACUACGGGCAUCACCCAUGCUACAUCCUCUCUCACCUAGAAAACCUCCUAACUCAUCUCCUUGAUUUGAUCAUGUCUACUACACUUGAUUUUCAAAAAAAAAUCCAGCAGGAAUGAGACUUUUAAAAGCCAAAUCAGGUCACCACAUUUCUCCACUUAAAUAAUGUUGGUGGUUUCCCAUUUUACUCAGUAAAACCAAAGUUCUUACAAUGCCUCUAAAACCUCAGGUCAACUGCUUCUUACUCUUAACUUGGUAUAAGAACUGCCCAGAACCCCUUUUCAAAAAUUGCAACACCUCCCCUUGCUCACACCCUAUCCUCCUUAGCCUAAUUACUCUCUACAAUGAUACUUAACUUUCUAACUAACUAUGUGACUUUUUUUGUUAGGUUGUAUCGACUCUCUUCCCCCAUUAGAAUGUAAGCAUCAUGAGAGCAGGGUUGGGUGUUUUUGGUUUUGUUUUUGUUUUUUCCUAUUUUUGCCACUGCUGUAUCCCAAGCUUCUAGAAUAACUGUUCUCAAAUUCUUUCUACAAAAGGCCAGGGUGUAAAUAUUUUAUUUACUCUGCAGUCCACGAGGUUUUUGUUGCUGCUAUUUAAUCUUGCCAUUGUAGUGAGAAAGCAGCCAUAGACUGAAUGUGGCUAUGCUCCAACAAGACUUUAUUUGCAAAAACAGGCAUUGGGCAGGAAAUGGCCUGUGAGCUCUAGCUUGCCAAUCUCUGUUCUUGAAAAACAUCUAGCACCCAAUAGUUGAGCGAGUAAAUACAUAAAAAUCACAAAAUUGGGUUAAGUUAUUAAUCCUCGGGGGGCCUCAUUUUCUUUAGCUAGCAAAUCAGGAUAUUAAUAAACCCCCCCAGGGUUGUUUUAAAGUUUAAAUGGGAAAAGAUAAGGUGAGAACACCUAGAUGAGUGUCACAGGAUGAAAUUCAGAGUAGGGCUUCCUCCCUCUGCCAUUCAAAGGGAGUAGGAAAAGGUAAAAUGUAUUAUUACAAAGCAUUGUCACAGUUCCCAUGUGGUGCAGUGGGUUAAGGAUCAGGUGUCACUGCAGCAGUGUGAGUCGCUGCUGUGGUGUGUGGUGCAGGUUCUAUCCCUAGCUCGGGAACUUCUACAUGCUGCUUGUUCGGCAAAAAAAAAAAAAAAAAAAAAAAAAAA